rnacentral:rRNA from 1 species
GGAUGAACGCUGGCGGCAGGCUUAAUACAUGCAAGUCGAACGGUAAGGCCGAGUGUAGCAAUACACGAGGUACACGAGUGGCGCACGGGUGCGUAACGCGUAUGCAACCUGCCCCCGACCGGGACAAAACAGCUGGAAACGGCUGCUAAUAUCCCAUGGUCAUGCGGAAGGGCAUCCUUCUUCAUGUAAAGAUUCAGUUGGUCGGGGAUGGGCAUGCGUAUUAUUAGGUAGUUGGCGGGGUAACGGCCACCAAGCCGACGAUGAUUAGGGGUCCUGAGAGGGUUAACCCCCACACUGGAACUGAGACACGGUCCAGACUCCUACGGGAGGCAGCAGUAGGGAAUAUUGGGCAAUGGGAGCAAUCCUGACCCAGCCAUGCCGCGUGGAAAAGGAAGACGGCCCUAUGGGUUGUAAACUUCUUUUGCCGCAGAGUAAACCCGGUCACGAGUGGUCGGUUGAGAGUAUGCGGCGAAUAAGUAUCGGCUAACUCCGUGCCAGCAGCUGC